GAUGAAGAACGCAGCGAAAUGCGAUACUUGGUGUGAAUUGCAGAAUCCCGUGAACCAUCGAGUCUUUGAACGCAAGUUGCGCCUCAAGCCAUUAGGUUGAGGGCACGUCUGCCUGGGCGUCACAUAUCGUUGCCUGAUGCCAGUUUCCUCGUGAUGGGUGACUGUGCAGGGCGAAUGAUGGCUUCCCGUAAGCAUUGUUGCCUCAUGGUUGGUUGAAAAUUGAGUCCUUGGUAGGGAGCGCCGUGAUAGAUGGUGGUUGAGUGACGAACGAGACCCAAUCAUGUGAGACCCCUACCGAAUUUGGCCUUCAUGACCCACAUGCGUCUUUGGAACGCUCAUGACGAGACCUCAGGUCAGGCGGGGCUACCCGCUGAGUUUAAGCAUAUCAAUAAGCGGAGGA
rnacentral:misc_RNA from 1 species